UUUGCAAUUGUUGUGAGUCCGUUCUGUAUUUUUGUCUAUAAUGAUCUAUUUGAAACUCUGGUGGUCCAGCCUUUUUGGUAUGAUGUCAUUAUGUAAAAUUAAAAUUUUGUUUGAUUGUUUAUGUGUUUUGGUUUUAUUUGGUAACAGGGACGCCAUCUUGAGCUGAUAUGCAGCUGCUGGUUUUGUUGCUAUCGCAUGGUACCGAUACGCACUGAUAUGGAUUGGUUGAUUCCUGCAGUCCUGUUAGAAACGCUUGAUCUUCAGUUUCCACAUCCAAGACAUAGCGGCGUGAUCCUCGUGGCUCGGUCGGUCAAUACGUAUUUGAUCCAAUACAAGCUAUGCCCUUUGGUUUACUACGUCCUUCAUGGAAAUGGUUCAAAUUACAUUCCGUCUUCUUUGGUUAAUGUCAGAUUUGAAACUCCCCUCAUAUGUUCAGUUUAUGUUAUGGCCGGAUUUUCAAGUAUGGCCAUGGAAAUGUACAACAACACUAUUUGGAAAAAAAGUAAUUGAUUCUGAUUAUCUGGUAAUGCUGAUGAUUUGUUUUUUUCUCUUGUAGGUUAUAUGCACGUUGGUUUGGCAUAAGCGAGAAGACAAAGGGUAAGUGACUUGCACACUCGGAAAUGGCUUCAAUGCAAGCGACAUGUUGCGGGGUAUAAGCUGAAGAAUAAGGGAUGUGUGGAAAACUUUGUUGGAGAAGAACUGCAGGUCUGCAUUUUACUUUUGACAAGGCAGAGUACAACAUCUUUGAAAUAUGGUGGUGGAAAUGUCGUAGCUCACGGAUUUUUAAACCUGAUUCCCAUCUACACUAGUUUAUGCGUUCUUGGCCUCAUGUUCUUAGAGCUUGGCAUGGCUAGUGAUGUGUGUACUGCUUGUUGAAAACCUUGUUGUAAACAAAAUCUGGUUGUAAUUCCCUCUUGUCCUACUUGAAACACUCAAUUGGAUUUGGGCUAUGUAAACUUAUUAUUUCUGUUAUGUAAAAUGGUUAACAGUUUGGACUGUAAUAACUUUUAGCCAUUGAAUUAAAAUGGAUGGUGAUUGGUUUAUGGCUUAUGGUUUUGCUAGGUAUGACGAAAAUUUAUGGCAUGGUACUAUGAACCUCUUCUUGCUUUGAUAAUUUGGACGCCCAAAACUCUUGGGAAGUUAUUAAAUGGCUUUGGUAUCUUUUGCAGGCCAUGAAGGCAUGAAGCAUGCUUUUAGAUGACCAAACUUUGGAUUUGAAGAAUCACGUACACAUGGAUAGCUCAAAAGGCCAAUAAUGAAAAGUCAAGCUUAAGGUUAAAAUUAGGGUUGGGAUUCUAGGGUUUAAAAAGGCUUGAGCUGACUUUGGUCAAAGUUGACCAAAAAGUCAAUUGUUGACCAAAGUCAACAAUUGGUCAACACACUCUUCUUUGUAUUUUUUUUAUGUAAUGCACUC